UACGGAGGAUGCAAGCGUUAUCCGGAAUUAUUGGGCGUAAAGCGUCCGUAGGUGGUUGAGUAAGUCUGCUGUUAAAGCGUGGAGCUUAACUCCAUAUCGGCAGUGGAAACUACUUGACUUGAGUGCGGUAGGGGUCAGGGGAAUUCCCAGUGUAGCGGUGAAAUGCGUAGAUAUUGGGAAGAACACCGGUGGCGAAAGCGCCUGACUGGGCCUGCAUUGACACUGAGGAACGAAAGCUAGGGGAGCGAAAGGG
rnacentral:rRNA from 1 species